AAUCGGCAGUUUUUUUAAGAGCUAGGUCUGAGCGAUGCAACACAACGCAUGUGUGGUGGAUGCGGAUGUACGCGUGGGGACACGCGGGAGACGUCGUGUUGUUUCCGGAAGCGGCGCCAUAAAUCCGCGCACCCUUCUCCCAUGGCUCACUCUCUCCUCUCUUCACACUCUCAUCGACGACUGAGCACCGACAGCGAGCAUCGGUGGCAAGAUCGGGACAAAGGGCAACGUCACCUCUCCUUCACACGUCCGGCAAUGGCAAAUGACAAGCUCGUCCUCAACAAUGCAGCUUCAGGGAACUCCUCAAAGGGCAAGAAUGUUUUAUUUGACAAGAAGGGCAAGGUGAUGGUGGAGCUCGCAACGCCCCGAAGAGG